rnacentral:rRNA from 1 species
GAUGAACGCUGGCGGCGUGCCUAAUACAUGCAAGUCGAGCGGCCAGGCAACGCGCUUGCUCCUCUCACGUUCGCAGCAGACGGGUGACUUACCCGUGGAUGACCUACCUCUGACACUGGGAUCACUUCGUGCAACCGGCGCUCCUCCCUGAUAAUCUCUUGACCCGCCUGGUUCAAUAGUCUAAGACGGUUUUGCUGUCUCUUAUCGAUGUAUCCGGGCCGCAUUAGCUAGUUGGUAAGGUAACGGCUUACCAAGGCAACGAUGCGUAGCCGACCUGAGAGGGUGAUCGGCCACACUGGAACUGAGACACGGUCCAGAGGCCUAGGGGAGGCAGCAGUAGGGAAUCUGCCGCAAUGGGCGAAAGCGUGACGGAGCAACGCCGCGUGAGUGAGGAAGGGAUGCGGAUCGUAAAACUCUGUUAUUAGGGAAGAACAAAUGUGUAAGUAACUAUGCACGUCUUGACGGUACCGAAUCAGAAAGCCACGGCUAACUACGUG